CUUGGCGCUCGGCCUUAGAUUCUACCACGCAGCGUUAUUUUUAGAUUUCUAUUAUGCACUCAGAGUUUGUGAAUAAAUCGUAUUGAGGAGGGGAAUGUAGCCCUGCGUGGGUGGUUGGUGGUCUUUUUUCCAGUAAGUAGGAACCUUUGGGUUCUGAAGUUCUUGAAGCUGGGGUAGCAACCGGCAACCGUGGAGUGGCCCAUGAGAGCCUGAGCCAGCAUAAAGCCACCUUGGAUCAACCUUAGUCACUUCAAAUCUGGUCUCGUGGAGCCACCUGAAAGUGACAGCCAUAAAAGCCCCAGCCCGCUGCUGAGAGGAGCUGCCUGGACAGAGCAUCUCUGAGGCCCGAGGUGCUGGGACUGCACACAGUGAGUUCUUUCCUAAGCUCUCGAGAGGACCAGAUUUUAGACUGUAACCUCUGAUUUAAAGCACGAAGGUGUUCCUGCUGCUUAGGUUGCUGGGUCUUGAUUUGUUUUUGGUAAACAGAGGGCACUGGCUUAUGUCCAUCCUCAAAGCUGCUUUGUCCUAGGGUGCCCGUUGCCAUAGUUAACGUGAG
rnacentral:lncRNA from 1 species